rnacentral:lncRNA from 1 species
AUUUUGCAUUUGGAAUUUAUGUAAAGGAGUUAUAGGGAGUUAAAGACAGCACAUUCAAAUCAAAGGCAGUAAGUGAGCGGUUUUGUUCAAAGUAGUGUUAGGAGCUAUAACUUGAGUUUUCGAACGAAAUUUUAACUCAAACUUUGGGAGAAUGUAAAAAUUUGUGUUAAAAAGCUAUCUAUACAAGUUUCGUGGCAUUU